GGAGGAAAGCAGGGGAUCGCAAGACCUUGCGCUAAAGGAGCGGCCGAUGUCUGAUUAGCUAGUUGGUGGGGUAAAGGCUUACCAAGGCAACGAUCAGUAGUUGGUCUGAGAGGACGGCCAACCACACUGGGACUGGGACACGGCCCAGACUCCUACGGGAGGCAGCAGUGGGGAAUUUUGGACAAUGGGCGAAAGCCUGAUCCAGCCAUGCCGCGUGAGUGAAGAAGGCCUUCGGGUUGUAAAGCUCUUUUAGUCGGAAAGAAAGAGUUGCAAUGAAUAAUUGUGAUUUAUGACGGUACCGACAGAAAAAGCACCGGCUAACUACGUGCCAGCAGCCGCGGUAAUACGUAGGGUGCGAGCGUUAAUCGGAAUUACUGGGCGUAAAGGGUGCGCAGGCGGUCUUGCAAGUCAGAUGUGAAAGCCCCGGGCUUAACCUGGGAAUUGCGUUUGAAACUACAAAGCUAG
rnacentral:rRNA from 1 species